rnacentral:rRNA from 1 species
GAUGAACGCUGGCGGCGUGCCUAAUACAUGCAAGUCGAGCGAACGGACGAGAAGCUUGCUUCUCUGAUGUUAGCGGCGGACGGGUGAGUAACACGUGGAUAACCUACCUAUAAGACUGGGAUAACUUCGGGAAACCGUAGCUAAUACCGGAUAAUAUUUUGAACCGCAUGGUUCAAAAGUGAAAGACGGUCUUGCUGUCACUUAUAGAUGGAUCCGCGCUGCAUUAGCUAGUUGGUAAGGUAACGGCUUACCAAGGCAACGAUGCAUAGCCGACCUGAGAGGGUGAUCGGCCACACUGGAACUGAGACACGGACCAGACUCCUACGGGAGGCAGCAGUAGGGAAUGUUCCGCAAUGGGCGAAAGCCUGACGGAGCAACACCGCGUGAGUGAUGAAGGUCUACGGAUCGUAAAACUCUGUUAUUAGGGAAGAACAUAUGUGUAAGUAACUGUGCACAUCUUGACGGUACCUAAUCAGAAAGCCACGGCUAACUACGUG